rnacentral:rRNA from 1 species
GACGAACGCUGGCGGCGCGCCUAACACAUGCAAGUCGAACGAGAGAUGAGGAGCUUGCUCUUCAAAUCGAGUGGCGAACGGGUGAGUAACGCGUGAGGAACCUGCCUCAAAGAGGGGGACAACAGUUGGAAACGACUGCUAAUACCGCAUAAGCCCACGGCUCGGCAUCGAGCAGAGGGAAAAGGAGCAAUCCGCUUUGAGAUGGCCUCGCGUCCGAUUAGCUAGUUGGUGAGGUAACGGCCCACCAAGGCGACGAUCGGUAGCCGGACUGAGAGGUUGAACGGCCACAUUGGGACUGAGACACGGCCCAGACUCCUACGGGAGGCAGCAGUGGGGAAUAUUGCACAAUGGGGGAAACCCUGAUGCAGCGACGCCGCGUGGAGGAAGAAGGUCUUCGGAUUGUAAACUCCUGUUGUUGAGGAAGAUAAUGACGGUACUCAACAAGGAAGUGACGGCUAACUACGUGCCAGCAGCCGCGGUAAAACGUAGGUCACAAGCGUUGUCCGGAAUUACUGGGUGUAAAGGGAGCGCAGGCGGGAGAACAAGUUGGAAGUGAAAUCCAUGGGCUCAACCCAUGAACUGCUUUCAAAACUGUUUUUCUUGAGUAGUGCAGAGGUAGGCGGAAUUCCCGGUGUAGCGGUGGAAUGCGUAGAUAUCGGGAGGAACACCAGUGGCGAAGGCGGCCUACUGGGCACCAACUGACGCUGAGGCUCGAAAGUGUGGGUAGCAAACAGGAUUAGAUACCCUGGUAGUCCACACCGUAAACGAUGAUUACUAGGUGUUGGAGGAUUGACCCCUUCAGUGCCGCAGUUAACACAAUAAGUAAUCCACCUGGGGAGUACGACCGCAAGGUUGAAACUCAAAGGAAUUGACGGGGGCCCGCACAAGCAGUGGAGUAUGUGGUUUAAUUCGACGCAACGCGAAGAACCUUACCAAGUCUUGACAUCCCUUGACGAUGCUGGAAACAGUAUUUCUCUUCGGAGCAAGGAGACAGGUGGUGCAUGGUUGUCGUCAGCUCGUGUCGUGAGAUGUUGGGUUAAGUCCCGCAACGAGCGCAACCCUUAUGGUCAGUUACUACGCAAGAGGACUCUGGCCAGACUGCCGUUGACAAAACGGAGGAAGGUGGGGAUGACGUCAAAUCAUCAUGCCCUUUAUGACUUGGGCUACACACGUACUACAAUGGCGUUAAACAAAGAGAAGCAAGACCGCGAGGUGGAGCAAAACUCAGAAACAACGUCCCAGUUCGGACUGCAGGCUGCAACUCGCCUGCACGAAGUCGGAAUUGCUAGUAAUCGUGGAUCAGCAUGCCACGGUGAAAUACGUUCCCGGGCCUU